GAUCCUGGCUCAGGACGAACGCUGGCGGCGUGCUUAACACAUGCAAGUCGAACGAGAAUCUGUGGAUCGAGGAUUCGUUCCAAGUGAAGCAGAGGACAGUGGCGGACGGGUGAGUAACGCGUGAGGAACCUGGCCUUUCAGAGGGGGACAACAGUUGGAAACGACUGCUAAUACCGCAUGACACAUUUGGGUGGCAUCAUCUGAAUGUCAAAGAUUUAUCGCUGAAAGA
rnacentral:rRNA from 1 species